rnacentral:rRNA from 1 species
AUACGUAGGUGGCAAGCGUUGUCCGGAUUUACUGGGCGUAAAGGGAGCGUAGGCGGAUACUUAAGUGGGAUGUGAAAUACCCGGGCUCAACCUGGGUGCUGCAUUCCAAACUGGGUGUCUAGAGUGCAGGAGAGGAAAGUGGAAUUCCUAGUGUAGCGGUGAAAUGCGUAGAGAUUAGGAAGAACACCAGUGGCGAAGGCGACUUUCUGGACUGUAACUGACGCUGAGGCUCGAAAGCGUGGGGAGCAAACAGGAUUAGAUCCCCUGGUAGUCCACGCCGUAAACGAUGGGUACUAGGUGUAGGGGGGUCCAACCCUCUGUGCCGCCGCAAACGCAUUAAGUACCCCGCCUGGGGAGUACGGUCGCAAGAUUAA